rnacentral:rRNA from 1 species
GACGAACGCUGGCGGCGUGCUUAUCACAUGCAAGUCGAACGGAAAGGCCCUGCUUUUGUGGGGUGCUCGAGUGGCGAACGGGUGAGUAACACGUGAGUAACCUGCCCUUGACUUUGGGAUAACUUCAGGAAACUGGGGCUAAUACCGGAUAGGAGCUCCUGCUGCAUGGUGGGGGUUGGAAAGUUUCGGCGGUUGGGGAUGGACUCGCGGCUUAUCAGCUUGUUGGUGGGGUAGUGGCUUACCAAGGCUUUGACGGGUAGCCGGCCUGAGAGGGUGACCGGCCACAUUGGGACUGAGAUACGGCCCAGACUCCUACGGGAGGCAGCAGUGGGGAAUAUUGCACAAUGGGCGGAAGCCUGAUGCAGCAACGCCGCGUGCGGGAUGACGGCCUUCGGGUUGUAAACCGCUUUCGCCUGUGACGAAGCGUGAGUGACGGUAAUGGGUAAAGAAGCACCGGCUAACUACGUGCCAGCAGCCGCGGUGAUACGUAGGGUGCGAGCGUUGUCCGGAUUUAUUGGGCGUAAAGGGCUCGUAGGUGGUUGAUCGCGUCGGAAGUGUAAUCUUGGGGCUUAACCCUGAGCGUGCUUUCGAUACGGGUUGACUUGAGGAAGGUAGGGGAGAAUGGAAUUCCUGGUGGAGCGGUGGAAUGCGCAGAUAUCAGGAGGAACACCAGUGGCGAAGGCGGUUCUCUGGGCCUUUCCUGACGCUGAGGAGCGAAAGCGUGGGGAGCGAACAGGCUUAGAUACCCUGGUAGUCCACGCUGUAAACGGUGGGUACUAGGUGUGGGGUCCAUUCCACGGGUUCCGUGCCGUAGCUAACGCUUUAAGUACCCCGCCUGGGGAGUACGGCCGCAAGGCUAAAACUCAAAGGAAUUGACGGGGCCCCGCACAAGCGGCGGAGCAUGCGGAUUAAUUCGAUGCAACGCGUAGAACCUUACCUGGGUUUGACAUGGAUCGGGAGUGCUCAGAGAUGGGUGUGCCUCUUUUGGGGUCGGUUCACAGGUGGUGCAUGGCUGUCGUCAGCUCGUGUCGUGAGAUGUUGGGUUAAGUCCCGCAACGAGCGCAACCCUUGUUCACUGUUGCCAGCACGUUAUGGUGGGGACUCAGUGGAGACCGCCGGGGUCAACUCGGAGGAAGGUGGGGAUGACGUCAAGUCAUCAUGCCCCUUAUGUCCAGGGCUUCACGCAUGCUACAAUGGCUGGUACAGAGAGUGGCGAGCCUGUGAGGGUGAGCGAAUCUCGGAAAGCCGGUCUCAGUUCGGAUUGGGGUCUGCAACUCGACCUCAUGAAGUCGGAGUCGCUAGUAAUCGCAGAUCAGCAACGCUGCGGUGAAUACGUUCCCGGGGCU